rnacentral:rRNA from 1 species
UACGGGGGGGCAAGCGUUGUUCGGAAUUACUGGGCGUAAAGGGCUCGUAGGUGGCCAACUCAGUCAGACGUGAAAUCCCUCGGCUUAACCGGGGAACUGCAUCUGAUACUGGAUGGCUUGAGUUUGGGAGAGGGAUGCGGAAUUCCAGGUGUAGCGGUGAAAUGCGUAGAUAUCUGGAGGAACACCGGUGGCGAAGGCGGCAUCCUGGACCAACACUGACACUGAGGAGCGAAAGCCAGGGGAGCAAACGGG